AUGUGAAAAAGAAUCCCAUCUGAAAUGAAUUAUGAGGAAACAUAUUUUUUUAGGGAGUGUUCCUUUAUGCUCCUGAUAGUAGUGGCAGAGGUACCAAAACCACGUAAAUUUUGCCAAAAUUAUUUUACAAAUUCAAUGCAUUUCCAAUCAAAAUACACAGAGAGUUUAUUAAAUUUGAUAAAUAAUCUCCAUAUCGUAUUCAGAGCCAAGUUCUAAUUUUGAAGAUGAAUAACAAGGUCAAGAGAUAGAAGCAAAAAAUAUUCACCUUAUCUCAGGCUAAGAAGAGCUGACUAUGAUUUGACUCAGGUCUUAAUGAAAGAAAUCUUGGAGUGAUAACCUGAAGUAUGAAAGAAAAACAUGAAGUGCAAAACUACAAAAGAAAACAUACACAAUAAUACAAGACAAUUUUGGUGUUGACAUUAUCACUAUAUAAUAUUUUGCAAAUUUUGUUUCAUGAAGCUCAUCCUGUAUUUGUUUCUAUGACAAUCACUUUUUACCAGAAAAUACUUAUUAAAGUGAAAAAAAAAGAUCUUAAGUUCAA